ACUCCUACGGGAGGCAGCAGUAGGGAAUCUUCCACAAUGGGCGCAAGCCUGAUGGAGCAACACCGCGUGAGUGAAGAAGGGUUUCGGCUCGUAAAGCUCUGUUGUUAAAGAAGAACACGUAUGAGAGUAACUGUUCAUACGUUGACGGUAUUUAACCAGAAAGUCACGGCUAACUACGUGCCAGCAGCCGCGGUAAUACGUAGGUGGCAAGCGUUAUCCGGAUUUAUUGGGCGUAAAGAGAGUGCAGGCGGUUUUCUAAGUCUGAUGUGAAAGCCUUCGGCUUAACCGGAGAAGUGCAUCGGAAACUGGAUAACUUGAGUGCAGAAGAGGGUAGUGGAACUCCAUGUGUAGCGGUGGAAUGCGUAGAUAUAUGGAAGAACACCAGUGGCGAAGGCGGCUACCUGGUCUGCAACUGACGCUGAGACUCGAAAGCAUGGGGUAGCGAACAGGAUUAGAUACCCUGGUAGGAUA
rnacentral:rRNA from 1 species